GAAGCGGCAACAGCUCAAAUUUGAAAUCUGGCGCAAGCCCGAGUUGUAAUUUGUAGAGGAUGCUUCUAGGUAGCGGUCGGUCUAAGUUCCUUGGAACAGGACGUCAUAGAGGGUGAGAAUCCCGUAUGUGAUUGACUUGCACCUUCUACGUAGCUCCUUCGACGAGUCGAGUUGUUUGGGAAUGCAGCUCUAAAUGGGAGGUAAAUUUCUUCUAAAGCUAAAUACCGGCCAGAGACCGAUAGCGCACAAGUAGAGUGAUCGAAAGAUGAAAAGCACUUUGGAAAGAGAGUUAAAAAGCACGUGAAAUUGUUGAAAGGGAAGCGCCUACAACCAGACUUUGCGGCAGUGUUCCGCCGGUCUUCUGACCGGUCUACUCUCUGUCGUGAGGCCAUCAUCGUCUGGGCCCGCCGGAUAAGACCUAAGGAAUGUAGCUACCUUCGGGUAGUGUUAUAGCCUUUGGUGAUGCGGCGAGGCUCGGGCGAGGUCCGCGCUUCGGCAAGGAUGAUGGCGUAAUGGUUGUCGGCGGCCCGUCUUGAAACACGGACCAAGGAGUCUAACAUCUAUGCGAGUGUUCGGGUGUCAAACCCCUACGCGUAAUGAAAGUGAACGGAGGUGGGAACUUUUUGUGCACCAUCGACCGAUCCUGAUGUCCUCGGAUGGAUUUGAGUAAGAGCAUAGCUGUUGGGACCCGAAAGAUGGUGAACUAUGCCUGAAUAGGGUGAAGCCAGAGGAAACUCUGGUGGA
rnacentral:rRNA from 1 species